rnacentral:rRNA from 1 species
CAGGACUUGACAUCCCUCUGACCGGCGUGUAACGGCGCCCUCCCUUCGGGGCAGAGGAGACAGGUGGUGCAUGGUUGUCGUCAGCUCGUGUCGUGAGAUGUUGGGUUAAGUCCCGCAACGAGCGCAACCCUUGUCAUUAGUUGCCAGCAGGUUAAGCUGGGCACUCUAGUGAGACUGCCGGGGACAACUCGGAGGAAGGUGGGGAUGACGUCAAAUCAUCAUGCCCCUUAUGUUCUGGGCUACACACGUGCUACAAUGGCCGGUACAGAGAGACGCAAUGUCGUGAGGCGGAGCAAAACUCUAAAACCGGUCCCAGUUCGGAUUGCAGGCUGAAACACGCCUGCAUGAAGUCGGAGUUGCUAGUAAUCGCGAAUCAGAAUGUCGCGGUGAAUGCGUUCCC